rnacentral:rRNA from 1 species
CCUACGGGAGGCAGCAGUGGGGAAUAUUGCACAAUGGGGGAAACCCUGAUGCAGCGACGCCGCGUGAAGGAUGAAGUAUUUCGGUAUGUAAACUUCUAUCAGCAGGGAAGAAAAUGACGGUACCUGACUAAGAAGCCCCGGCUAACUACGUGCCAGCAGCCGCGGUAAU